rnacentral:rRNA from 1 species
UGGGGAAUUUUGGACAAUGGGCGCAAGCCUGAUCCAGCAAUGCCGCGUGAGUGAAGAAGGCCUUCGGGUUGUAAAGCUCUUUCAGUUGAGAAGAAARGAUUGUGACUAAUAAUUGCAAUUCAUGACGGUAUCAACA